rfam:Gossypium hirsutum cultivar TM-1 unplaced genomic scaffold scaffold413.1, whole genome shotgun sequence
UGUUAAAAAUUUCAUCCAUUUGUAUUAUUAAAAACUGGCAUGAUUGAUGAAAUAAUCAGACAGUGACACGUGACGUGCCAUAUGUACCUCGUGUUGAUGUACAAUGCCUUGUUUUUAACAGUACAAAUGGAUGAAAAUUUUAACA